rnacentral:misc_RNA from 1 species
AUUGAUUCCAUGUCCUGAGAGCCAGCAAGCUCCUCAAAUUGCUUAACCCAAUCUUCCAUCAUUGCAUCCUUACUAAAAUCUUCUGGUUUCGGACCUGUGACAGACUCCAAUCCCUUAACAGCCUCCCUAGUCUGCUCCCUAAGCUGAUCAAGCGCCUCUGCAACAUGGGACUCCUUUGUAAACUUUUGCUUUCCCUUUUUCUUGCUUUUCAAGUCAGGUAAUCCCAUA